rnacentral:rRNA from 1 species
UACGAAGGGGGCUAGCGUUGUUCGGAAUCACUGGGCGUAAAGGGCGCGUAGGCGGCCGAUCAAGUCGGGGGUGAAAGCCUGUGGCUCAACCACAGAAUUGCCUUCGAUACUGUUUGGCUUGAGACCGGAAGAGGUUAGUGGAACUGCGAGUGUAGAGGUGAAAUUCGUAGAUAUUCGCAAGAACACCGGUGGCGAAGGCGGCCCACUGGUCCGGUACUGGACGCUGAGGUGCGAAAGCGUGGGGAGCAAACAGG